rnacentral:rRNA from 1 species
ACCAGACUCCUACGGGAGGCAGCAGUGGGGAAUAUUGGGCAAUGGGCGCAAGCCUGACCCAGCAACGCCGCGUGAAGGAAGAAGGCUUUCGGGUUGUAAACUUCUUUUCUCAGGGACGAAGCAAGUGACGGUACCUGAGGAAUAAGCCACGGCUAACUACGUGCCAGCAGCCGCGGUAAUACGUAGGUGGCAAGCGUUGUCCGGAUUUACUGGGUGUAAAGGGCGUGUAGCCGGGUUGACAAGUCAGAUGUGAAAUCCUGCGGCUUAACCGCAGAACUGCAUUUGAAACUGUUGAUCUUGAGUACUGGAGAGGCAGACGGAAUUCCUAGUGUAGGAGUGAAAUCCGUAGAUAUUAGAAGGAACACCGAUAGCGUAGGCAGGUUACUGGGACGGUUCUGACACUAAGGCACGAAAGCGUAGGGAGCAAACGGGAUUAGAUACCCCAGUA